rnacentral:rRNA from 1 species
UGGGGAAUUUUGGACAAUGGGGGCAACCCUGAUCCAGCAAUGCCGCGUGAGUGAAGAAGGUCUUCGGGUUGUAAAGCUCUUUUGUCAGGGAAGAAACGGCUCCGGCUAAUAUCCGGAGCAAAUGACGGUACCUGAAGAAUAAGCACCGGCUAACUACGUGCCAGCAGCCGCGGUAAUACGUAGGGUGCAAGCGUUAAUCGGAAUUACUGGGCGUAAAGCGUGCGCAGGCGGUUUUGUAAGUCUGUCGUGAAAUCCCCGGGCUCAACCUGGGAAUUGCGAUGGAGACUGCAAGGCUAGAAUCUGGCAGAGGGGGGUAGAAUUCCACGUGUAGCAGUGAAAUGCGUAGAGAUGUGGAGGAACACCGAUGGCGAAGGCAGCCCCCUGGGUCAAGAUUGACGCUCAUGCACGAAAGCGUGGGGAGCAAAC